GAGCAAGUGGGACGUGUGGCCAGUGUCCGGUGGUGGUGCUCCACGCAUACGCAUGUCUGGGGGAGUAAUCAGCUGCACGGCCACAAUCUAACCUCAGCCUUCCUCUGCGGUCCCACACUCAACCUGGAAGCCAGAGACCCAGGGCAGAGCCCGGCUUCACUGACCCCAGGUGGAGGAGAGCUCUGGUUUGAAGGCAGUGCUGGGGAGAGGGACUCUGAUGCACAACACGUGCCUUAGAGAGAGGGCGAAUGAUGCACUCCGACCUGUACUCCCAAGAAGGAGGCGACGAUAACAGCAGAGCUGGAUAAUAUCACUGCUCCGAUGCUCAGAAAGCCUUUGAGCUUUGUCUGCUCUCAGGUUUUCACCAUUUGGCACCAAGAUAUUGCAGCACAGCUCCCCAGUAGAUGCAGCCAGAGGGCAUCAGGCACUGUGUGACUGCUUGGAAGAAGAGGAGAUGCUCCUUGCCUGCCCUACCACAGCGCCCACAGCGACUGCAGUUCCCACUGCUCAGCUGUGAGGAGCAGCAUCUGGGAGGUAGCGGGUAAAGACCGGUGGCUGAUACCUUCAGCAUUUCAAUAAGUAUCUUGGCCACAGAGGGUCAGUGGUCCUAGGGGUGGCCCCAGCUCCCACAUGGAGUUCUGCUUGAAAAAGAAAAAAAUUAAAAUUAAAAAACAGGAGAGAGUGCAGA